rnacentral:rRNA from 1 species
AACGAACGCUGGCGGCAGGCCUAACACAUGCAAGUCGAGCGAACCCUUCGGGGUUAGCGGCGGACGGGUGAGUAACGCGUGGGAAUAUGCCCUUUGCUACGGAAUAGCCCCGGGAAACUGGGAGUAAUACCGUAUACGCCCUUUGGGGGAAAGAUUUAUCGGCAAAGGAUUAGCCCGCGUUGGAUUAGGUAGUUGGUGGGGUAAUGGCCUACCAAGCCGACGAUCCAUAGCUGGUUUGAGAGGAUGAUCAGCCACACUGGGACUGAGACACGGCCCAGACUCCUACGGGAGGCAGCAGUGGGGAAUCUUAGACAAUGGGGGCAACCCUGAUCUAGCCAUGCCGCGUGAGUGAUGAAGGCCCUAGGGUUGUAAAGUUCUUUCGGACGGAAAGAAAUCGCCGCCUCUAACAUAGGCGGUGGAUGACGGUACCGUAAGAAGAAGCACCGGCUAACUACGUGCCAGCAG